rnacentral:rRNA from 1 species
GGUAAUUCCAGCUCCAAUAGCGUAUAUUAAAGUUGUUGCGGUUAAAAAGCUCGUAGUUGGAUCUCGGCGGGCAGGGGGCGGUCCGUUAUUUGACGCGACUGCCCCAUUUGCCCGUGUUUCUUCGGCAGAACUCCCGGGGUGCUCUUCGCCGAGUGUCCCGUUGGGGGCUGCCAGGUUUACUUUGAAAAAAUUAGAGUGCUCCAAGCAGGCUCGACACGCCUGAAUAUUCGUGCAUGGAAUAAUGGAAUAGGACGUCGUUCCUAUUUUGUUGGUUUUCGGGAAUCGACGUAAUGAUUAAUAGGGACAGCCGGGGGCAUUAGUAUUCAGACGACAGAGGUGAAAUUCUUGGACCGUCUGGCGACUCACUGCUGCGAAAGCGUUUGCCAAGUAUGUUUUCAUUAAUCAAGAACGAAAGUUAGAGGUUCGAAGGCGAUCAGAUACCGCCCUAGUUCUAACCAUAAACGACGCCAGCUAGCGAUCCGCAGACGUUUUUAUUGUAGGCUCUGCGGGAAGCUUCCGGGAAACCAAAGCGUUUGGGUUCCGGGGGAAGUAUGGUUGCAAAGCUGAAACUUAAAGAAAUUGACGGAAGGGCACCACCAGGCGUGGAACUUGCGGCUUAAUUUGACUCAACACUGGAAAUCUCACCAGGCCCGGACACCGGAAGGAUUGACAGAUUGAGAGCUCUUUCUCGAUUCGGUGGGUGGUGGUGCAUG